rnacentral:rRNA from 1 species
CCUACGGGUGGCAGCAGUGAGGAAUAUUGGUCAAUGGGCGCGAGCCUGAACCAGCCAAGUCGCGUGAAGGAUGACUGCCCUACGGGUUGUAAACUUCUUUUAUAGGGGAAUAAAGUCAGGCACGUGUGCCUUUUUGUAUAUACUUUAUGAAUAAGGAUCGGCUAACUCCGUUCCAGCAGCCGCGGUAAUACGGAGGAUCCGAGCGUUUUCCGGAUUUGUUGGGUUUAAAGGGCGCGUAGAUGGGUUGUUAAGUCAGUUGUGAAAGUUUGCGGCUCAACCGUAAAAUUGCAAUUGAUACUGGCAGACUUGAGUACAGUUGAGGUAGGCGGAAUUCGUGGUGUAGCGGUGAAAUGCUUAGAUAUCACGAAGAACUCCGAUUGCGAAGGCAGCUUACUAAACUGCCACUGACAUUGAUGCUCGAAAGUGUGGGUAUCAAACAGGAUUAGAUACCCUUGUAGUC